GGAGAGGUGUCAGAGCGGUUGAAUGAACUGGUCUUGAAAACCAGCGAGGGUUUAUCCCCUCCGAGGGUUCGAAUCCCUCCCUCUCCGCCA
rnacentral:tRNA from 2 species